rnacentral:tRNA from 1 species
GCCCGGAUGGCGAAAUCGGCAGACGCAGCGGACUUAAAAUCCGCGGACCGCAAGGUUGUGGGGGUUCAAGUCCCCCUCUGGGCACCA